ACUUUGAUACUCGCAUCAACAAAUCUCCUCACUGCGAGAAUUGCUGCUGGUUGUUUAAUUGUUGCUCUAUUUGUGGUGCUCUGUAUUGCUAAAAACUGGACACUCCGUGGACUUUGUAUCGAAAGUCACAGAAAGAGGAGGAUAUGGAGGAGAGAGGUAUGAGCAACUGGAGUUUCAGAAGAAAGCUAGGCAAUGUUACAAGGCUCUCCAUGAUGCUUCUUGGAAGAUUUUAGAAAAAUACAACAAGAAAGGCGUAAUCAUUUACAAUACCCUCGUAGGACUUCACGCCAUAGCUAUACUGAAUUGGAAGCUGAUUUACAAGCUAAGUGGGGCACAACAGAGCAGAUAGAUCGACCUAUACUCUGGAAGGAGGCCAGAAAAGAUUCUUCUGGCAACUAUGUCACCGAGCGUGACAAGGACAUGGGAGAGGCCAUCGAAGACAUGCUUGAGCAAAUAAAAGAGGGCAAACUGAUUGAGAUCGGAACAAAUGACAUCCUAACACAAGUGUUAGGUACUGCUGAGCACCUCGGUCGAGUUCGAGGCCAAAGUCGAGGUGUCACACAAAGAGACUACUUUCAUAAGCCUGUGGGGGGGGGGGGGGGGGUCUAAGGCUUGCUAGAGUUGCCUUUUGAAAUGAUAACUAGAUUUUCUUGAGCGGAUGGGUCAUAGAUAGAGUAAGGGUCUAAGAGGCUUGCUAGAGUUACCUUUUGAAAUCAUAGCUAGAGUUUCUUGAGUGGAUGAGUCAUAGCUAGAGUAACUUUUGAAAUCAGAAUUAAAAAAAUAUACUAACUGUAGUAUUUAGUUAGCACUUACAUAGUUAUCCCAAGUGAGUUCUAUAUUCCAAGUGAGUUAGCACUUACAUAUUUUGAUCUUGUAAUUUUUAGAUUUGGAACAUACUGAGUUCUAUUGAUUUUGUCUGCCCGUUGAUUCUA